UGUGAACCACGUACAUCUUGUGUUUGCUUUCCUAUCUCUAUCCAUUUAUAUACUUAUCCACACUAAUGACCGGAGCAAUCUAGCGAAGAUCACAAAAAGUGACCGUUUUCGCUACCUAUGAUCUAUCUUGCAAGAGAACGGAGAAUUAGAUGGAGAUCUCAACCAUAGAAUACAAGCUGGAUGGAUGAAGUGUAAGAGUGUAUCCGGCGUGUUGUG
rnacentral:lncRNA from 1 species